rnacentral:piRNA from 1 species
UUCCUUCAAUGCUGCCUGUGUCGUGUCU